UAGAUCCACUCUCCCUCCUCUGCACAUGUCCAAACCAUCUCAGCCUUGAACUCAAUCGAUUUCUUUACAUUUCUGUCUAAAUAUUAACAUUUUCAGCUCGGUCUUGUGUGUUUUUGUCAGAGCCACCUUUCUAAAACAUUCAUCAUAGCAAGACUCGCUACCAUCUAGUAAACCUUCCCUUUCACACUUGCUGCUCUUCUUCAAAACCACUUAAUUAAAAUAAAUAUUUGCAUUAAAACAGCCAAGAGCUUCCGUUGUUUGCAUACGGGAAAUUACUCCUGAGCUUAGCCGCCAAUUUUACUUAAACAACACACUUGAAUGCUUGUUUUAAGAAACCCCAUUAAUAAUUAGCUUAAAAAUUUUGCAUUUGUUAAUGAACAGUCUGGCUAUAUAAGCCGCACAGAUGACGGCUGUGUAUCGUUUCCUGCGGGAGGAACAGGUGAUCAGUGGGUCCGGGAGCUAGUACCGCCCUUCAGCCUAACGCCAGCUCUCAGCCGCCCAUCCCACCACAAUGUCCGUGCGAGCUCCGCUAGGCUAGCGUUGCCCGCUGUAGCCGGCUAACAGCGAGCUAACCUACCUCGUCAACGGUCCUCCGCGGAAGGUGCAGCAUCCCGAGCAGGAGUUUCAGCUUCACCGGCGGCGACAAGCUCGAAAAACACAGCCGUAUGUUGUCGAUAACCGACACGGUGAGGAGCGAAGCGAUGCUCGGA